CACCCGGCCAGCUGUUUUAACUAUCCUCCACUCCAAGAUGAUCUGCCCAUCUGUGACUUUGUGAAGUAAUGCCCUAGCUAAUUCUUUGUGCUGUGCUUUUUUGUGUUGAUUUUUCAUUAACAUUCAGGUUGAUUUUGCUAAGGAAACACGGUGUUCAUGGUUGAGUCAACAUGAACAGUUAGGAGAGAAGCAAAUGGCUUGUUAGGACCCAAGAACACACAGAGCUGAUGUUUCCAACGUGUUUUCUUUCCUUUUGUAUCCAGCUGCCUGAGCCUGGGGCAGGCAGCAGAGGCCAGCCGUGACCAAUCUCUUCAAAGUGCACCUUCAAAGGACAGAGCGAGCCUAUUUCAUCAGCAAGCCAGAAACAACGGUGCUACAACCAGCUUCUAAAAUAGAGGGAACCUCGGAGGAGGUUUAAGAUGUGUUGCUAGAGGGCAGUGUUUCUGAAGUUCAUUGGGAAGGAGCCAUAUUUGGAAUGACAUCUGCUGUUUUAUUGAAAAGUCAGAGUAAUAAAUUAUAACUACUAUUUAUCGAGGGCAUAUUAGGUACCAAGCUGUGUGUCUGCUGACAAAAGGUAGUUUGCUGAUAUUUUGUUCAAUCAUGGUGAACACUCACAGAGCACUGCAUUUGUGGGACUUAGAGACCUUGAGGAAGACCCCCGCCACCCCAGCCCACCACUGUAAGCUUGGAAGGAGGUCAUGUGCCAGGAAAUGUGGACAGCCCCUAGAAACUGAGAAUGAGCCCUAGUCGACAGCCAGCAGGGCACCAGGGACCUGAGUUCUACAACUGCAAUGGGCUGGAUCCUGCCAAUAACCUGUAUGAACUUGAAAGAAAUGCAGCCCUGCUAAUGCCUUGAUUUUGGCCUUAAGCUAUUGGGAGCAGAGAACCACCUGAACCAUGCUGUAAUAAGACUUCUUAUCUACACAUCUAUGAAAUAAUAAAUACGUCAUCUUAAGAUGCUCUAUUUGUGGUAAUUUGUGACAGCAGCUAUAGAAAACUAAUAAAAUGAAUACAGGCA
rnacentral:lncRNA from 10 species